GAGAUUAGAAAGAGAAAUUAAUCUCCUUCUGGUGUUUGGAUUGUGGAUGUGCUGGAGCCUGUGGCAGCGAGAGCCACUCAGGGCUCAGAUGGGAAGGAAUGACAUUCUGCAGGGUGAAAUGAGGAGCGACUUGCCAACCUGACUUGUGAUUCUUGGUAGGACGAGGAUGCAAGCCAGCCCCAUCCACAUUCCAACUGUCAGCAAUGACACCGACUGGGAUUUCUGCUUCCACCUGUCUCAGCAAGCCGAGAUCCCAGCAUACCAGCGAAGAGAAGAAUUGUGUUCCUCUAGUGGGUCUGGAGAGAGUGAAGAAGACACUACAGCCAAGGAGGAGAAGACCAUAGGCUGUAUGUCUCUUCCUAAAGAGAAAUUGGCCCAAUCCCGGAAGAAAAUAGCUCAGCUGAUUAAGAAAAAAAUGAAUACCCAAGCAAACAAGGAGCUGGUUCGCUGUGUCAUCCUUUCUCGCAUUAUUUUUGGGGAAGAACACUGGAAAUGUGCACGGGCUGUGGCCAGCCUGGCUUACGGCUACCUGACACUGAGAGGCCUCCCGGCUCAGGCCAAGAAACAUGCCGAGUCGGCCAAGAACACGCUGCUGACCUGGAAGGGAAGCAGGACCUCAAACAAAGAGAAGAAGGAAAUCCUGGAAGCCCUGGUCAUGCUGUACUACACCCUGGGGGUGGCCUGGCUCCUACAGAACCGUGGCAGAGAGGCUUAUUUCAACCUGCAGAAGGCAGAGAGAAACAUGAAGGAGCUGAAAGAAUUAUUUAAGGGAGGUGUUCGCAAAUCCCAAGUCUCAGAGAAAGACCUGACCAUUGCUUUGGGCAGGGCCUCCUUGGCUAUCCACAGAUUGAACCUUGCUCUGGCAUACUUUGAAAAGGCAAUUGGCGAUGUUAUUGCUGCUAAGGGUGAUAGGACUUUGGAUCUGGUCAGUCUAUAUGAGGAAAUUGCUCAGAUUGAGCAACUGAGAAGGAACCAUGAUCGGGCCAUCCAGUACUUGCAUCAGGCCUAUUCUAUCUGUGUUUCUUUGUUCACCGAAGUCAGCCCCCAAACUGCAGAGGCAAGCGCGUUACUAGCCAAGGCUCAUGCCAUGUCUGGAGAGGCCCAACACAGGGAUGCCGUUGAGAUAUAUUAUAUAAAAAGUAUCAAUGCGUAUCAAGCAACAUUGGGCCCAACGGAUUAUGAAACACUGACAACCAUUGAAGAAUUCUGCAAAUGGCUUGUCCAAAACGGGGAAAAACAGGAGGCUUACAGACUGCUAAAGGCCACCCUGAGGUCUCAGGUCAUCAGCUAUGGUGACUGUAGUGAAAAGGUGGCUGAAACUUUUUACAACAUGGGCAGGAUCUGCUUUGCCAAAGGAGAGCUCAGGAAGGCAAUUCAGCUGUUAAGGAAGUGUCUGAUGAUUCAAAUCCUUUUAUACGGAAGUGAGCACAGUAAAAGCAGAGACACAAGAGACCUCCUUAACCUAUUGCAGAGGGCGAGUAACAGUUCAUCCAGGUGGAGAAGAGAAACCAUUCCGGGAAGAAGAAACUGUAUAUGCAAAGGCCCUGAGGCAUGACAGAGGACAGUGUAUCGAAGCAAUGGUCUUCUGUUAUCAGUAAAGAGAAAACCUCUAUAUAAGAUAGCCAACAAUAAAGCCAACCUGUUGAUAACAAAAAUUCUGGAUCACAAGAUAGAUUUAUCAACACUGAUAGCAAUGGCAGAUCAAAGGCAGAAUUAAGGACUGUAAAGAAAAAAAAAAAGGUCUACUGAGCAGCACCAUUACAGGUCACUAAAACUGCCUUGUGAAGAAACACAUUUGAUCUUCUGAAAACAUUUGCCCUGGUCUCAUGCCAUCUUAAGGGUCAGAGAGGGCUUUUUGAUUCUUAUUAUAAAUGAAGAAACAAGGAACAAGAGAGAUUGAUUUGUUCAAGGUCAGCCUGGUGAUUAUAAAGCUGACUUCCUGAAUCAUGGAUGAUUAUACCUUCUAUCCCACUAGGCUGCCCCCAACCCAAAUUGGAUUAAGGAGGCUUGUUUUAGGGAAGGAAUGUUCACCAAGGUUUAAAAAAAAAAAAAAAAAUCCUUACCCCCUGAACAAAUGUGUAUCUAGGAAAAGAAAUUGGCAAUCUCAAAUUAAAUUCCUUACUGUCUUCUUCAGGUGCUCAGGGAGAAAAAUCAGAUCCCUGUGAGUUUACAAUAUAAGAAACUUUUAUUUUCCAUUUUCAUCGAUUCUCAGUUAGGUUAGCAGAUUUAAUGGAGCUCAAAGACUGUCUUUCGGAUCCAAGUGUCUACUUCACUCAGUGCUUAUAAGAAUUGGUUCUUCAUUCAAAAAAUUAUUUUUUUUAUCUCAGUCCUUUGUUCAGUCUGUAAAACCUAAUGAUCGAGUACCCAAGCAAUGUGUAGUGGUGAGUAGUGUGCUGCUUUGGCCCAAGUACAUAAUACCAGAUAAUCCAAUGGCUUGUCUACAGGCUGGUAGUCUCCCUCCUGCAGCUGUGUCCUCCCCUCGCCAAUUCCCAGAGAACUUUCAGUUUGGCACUCAGGGCUAAGGUCUCAGAUUGCAGCCCUGCCUGAAGGCAGCUGUAUCCCACUGACCUUUACUGCAGUGCUUGUGAACUGGUCACCCAGUCUCUGUCCUUGCUAACUUUAGCCCUGUCUGGAGAUGGGCCUGCUGUUCUUACCCAGAAUAUUCUGAAUUGACUAAAGUAGCCUCAGAAGAGUCGCUUCCAUUUUCAUAUAUCCAGAUGAAAAUGGGUUUUCAACAAUGACUGUGAUAAAAAACAAAAGUACUAGACAGAAGUGGCCACUUGGACUCCAUUUUGCGUAACACUAAAAAUUAUUUUGGGAGACCCCAAACGUCUUAAGAUCUCCAGACUGACAAACCUGUAUCAAUAAAACAAUAGCAUAAAGUGUAACAUUGCAAAAUAAAAUGUUAUGGUGUGAUCCUGUUUUUGCAUUUGAAAUUAGUUUUAAACACUUAAAUAUUCCCAGUGUUGUCAGUGUAAAGUUGCUAGUAGUCCAUUUUGUGAAAUUUUGAUGUUAAAUUGUUUAAUGAAACGGUGGUGAUAAUGAAUGGUGGCUAUGGUUUAAAUAUCCUCAUACCUGAGAAAAUAUUAAGUUGUUACUUAUGUCGGUUCUAAAAGUUUUCAAAUUUUAGUAUUUUGUGAAAUCCCCAAGUUUUAAGAAACCACCUUGGAAAUAGUCAACUCAGUAAAACUGAAUAUAAACUUGCAUUCUCUCUUGGAAAACUCUGGAUGAGGAUUAAGCCACUUUCUAAAUUCAUUCAUUGCGAACCAGCAAUCUGGAUAAUCCACCCCAAUCGAAC